GAUGAAGAACGCAGCGAAAUGCGAUAAGUAGUGUGAAUUGCAGAAUUCAGUGAAUCAUCGAAUCUUUGAACGCACAUUGCGCCCCUUGGUAUUCCAUGGGGCAUGCCUGUUCGAGCGUCAUUUGUACCUUCAAGCUCUGCUUGGUGUUGGGUGUUUGUCUCGCCUCUGCGUGUAGACUCGCCUUAAAACAAUUGGCAGCCGGCGUAUUGAUUUCGGAGCGCAGUACAUCUCGCGCUUUGCACUCAUAACGACGACGUCCAUAAGUACAUUUUUACACUCUUGACCUCGGAUCAGGUAGGGAUACCCGCUGAACUUAAGCAUAUCAAUAAGCGGAGGA
rnacentral:misc_RNA from 1 species